rnacentral:rRNA from 1 species
GAGUAUACAUCGGAACGUGUCCUGGAGUGGGGGAUAGCCCGGCGAAAGCCGGAUUAAUACCGCAUACGCUCUGAGGAGGAAAGCGGGGGAUCUUAGGACCUCGCGCUGCAGGGGCGGCCGAUGGCAGAUUAGCUAGUUGGUGGGGUAAAGGCCUACCAAGGCGACGAUCUGUAGCUGGUCUGAGAGGACGACCAGCCACACUGGGACUGAGACACGGCCCAGACUCCUACGGGAGGCAGCAGUGGGGAAUUUUGGACAAUGGGCGCAAGCCUGAUCCAGCAAUGCCGCGUGUGUGAGGAAGGCCUUCGGGUUGUAAAGCACUUUUGUCCGGAAAGAAAACUUCUGGGUUAAUACCCCGGGAGGAUGACGGUACCGGAAGAAUAAGCACCGGCUAACUACGUGCCAGCAGCCGCGGUAAUACGUAGGGUGCAAGCGUUAAUCGGAAUUACUGGGCGUAAAGCGUGCGCAGGCGGUUCGCUAAGACAGAUGUGAAAUCCCCGGGCUUAACCUGGGAACUGCAUUUGUGACUGGCGGGCUAGAGUAUGGCAGAGGGGGGUAGAAUUCCACGUGUAGCAGUGAAAUGCGUAGAGAUGUGGAGGAAUACCGAUGGCGAAGGCAGCCCCCUGGGCCAAUACUGACGCUCAUGCACGAAAGCGUGGGGAGCAAACAGGAUUAGAUACCCUGGUAGUCCACGCCCUAAACGAUGUCAACUAGUUGUCGGGUCUUCAUUGACUUGGUAACGUAGCUAACGCGUGAAGUUGACCGCCUGGGGAGUACGGUCGCAAGAUUAAAACUCAAAGGAAUUGACGG